rnacentral:tRNA from 1 species
UCCUGAUAGCUCAGUCGGCAAAGAAUCUGCCUGCAGUGCAGGAGAUCCAGGUUUGAUUCCUGGGUCAGGAA